CCUACGGGUGGCAGCAGUGAGGAAUAUUGGUCAAUGGGCGAGAGCCUGAACCAGCCAAGUCGCGUGAGGGAGUACUGCCCUAUGGGUUGUAAACCUCUUUUGUCGGGGAGCAAAAGCCGGACGUGUCCGGCUGUGAGAGUUCCCGAAGAAAAAGCAUCCGCUAACUCCGUGCCAGCAGCCGCGGUAAUACGGAGGAUGCGAGCGUUAUCCGGAUUUAUUGGGUUUAAAGGGGUCGCAGGCGGAUUUUUAAGUCAGCGGUAAAAACGUGGGGCUCAACCCCAUCCAGCCGUUGAAACUGGGGGUCUAGAGUGUGCGAGAGGUAUGCGGAAUGCGUGGGGUAGCGGUGAAAUGCAUAGAUAUCACGCAGAACCCCGAUUGCGAAGGCAGCAUACCGGUGCACAACUGACGCUCAGGCACGAAAGCGUGGGUAUCGAACAGGAUUAGAUACCCUUGUAGUC
rnacentral:rRNA from 1 species